UACUAAGAAACUGCCCUUAAGUUGAUCUGGCUCAGGAUGAACGCUGGCGGCGUGCCUAACACAUGCAGGUCGAACGCUCGCAAGAGAGUGGCGCACGGGUGAGUAACACGUAGCUGACCUGCCUUCAAGUGCCGGAUAACGCCCCGAAAGGGGCGCUAAUACGGCGUAAGCUCCCGAUCUUUAGAGGGUCGAGAGAAAAGAUUGAUCGCUUGAAGAGGGGGCUGCGGCCCAUCAGGUAGUUGGUAGGGUAAUGGCCUACCAAGCCAACGACGGGUAGGGGGUCUGAGAGGAUGAUCCCCCCCACUGGGACUGAGACACGGCCCAGACUCCUACGGGAGGCAGCAGUGAGGGAUAUUGGUCAAUGGGGGCAACCCUGAACCAGCGACGCCGCGUGGGUGAUGAAGGUCUUCGGAUCGUAAAACCCUUUUCUAGGUGACGAGACCAGGACGGUAGCCUAGGAAUAAGUCUCGGCUAACUACGUGCCAGCAGCCGCGGUAAAACGUAGGAGGCGAGCGUUAUCCGGAGUUACUGGGCGUAAAGCGUAUGUAGGCGGUUGGGCAAGUGGCGUGUGAAAGCUCCCGGCUAAACUGGGAGACGACAGGUCAGACUGCUCGACUCGAGUCCGGUAGAGGAGCGUAGAAUUCCGGGUGUAGCGGUGAAAUGUGUAGAGAUCCGGAGGAAUACCAGUGGCGCAAGCGGCGCUCUGGGUCGGGACUGACGCUGAGAUACGAAAGCGUGGGGAGCGAACGGGAUUAGAGACCCCGGUAGUCCACGCUGUAAACGAUGCGAACUGGGUGUUCACCUACCGACAGGUAGGGGAGUGCCGAAGCUAACGCGCUAAGUUCGCCGCCUGGGGAGUACGGUCGCAAGACUAAAACUCAAAGGAAUUGACGGGGGCCCGCACAAGCAGCGGAGCGUGUGGUUUAAUUCGAGGCUACACGAAGAACCUUACCUGGGUUUGACAUCGGCGUGGUAGGGAACCGAAAGGGGACCGACCUUCGGGAGCGCCGACAGGUGCUGCAUGGCUGUCCUCAGCUCGUGUCGUGAGAUGUUCGGUUAAGUCCCGCAACGAGCGCAACCCCUGUGAACUGUUGCCACCGAGCCGUGAGGCUCGAGCACUCUGUUCAGACUGCCCCGCUCUAACGGGGAGGAAGGUGGGGACGACGUCAAGUCAGUAUGGCCCUUACGGCAUGGGCUGCCCACGUACUACAAUGCCCAGUACAGAACGAUCCUAGACCGCGAGGUGGAGGAAAUCACUAAAACUGGGCCCAGUUCAGAUUGAAGUCUGCAACUCGACUUCAUGAAGCCGGAAUCGCUAGUAAUGGCGUAUCAGCUAC
rnacentral:rRNA from 1 species